GUAUUGCAACAUUAUAUUGUUAAAUCACUAAAUUUGGCAAAUGACAUGUACAAUGUAACCUAUUAAUGUAAAUUCAUUAUUAGUUCUAAUCCACAUUUAUUUGCUUGCUUGUUUUUAUUCAUACUCACUGCAUAAAGGGCAGAACUUUGUAACUGAAUCAUACUUUAGCUAUUAUAGUUAUCAGUCUAUACAAUUCAAGAGUCUUGCUUCACACUAACACAAAUGUAUCUUUGUGAAUACAGAAACUCUCUUGAAAUACUCUUGAAUUGCGCGGUAUGGCAUGUUUAUUCCUGCCACAUCAUCAUUGCAGUAUACGCAUAGGGACCCCACUAGCGCAAAGGCAUUUAGGAAGGAUUGGGAGUUAGUCUCGCGUAUUCUCUAUACUGAUAGUUAUAUUUAUCAGUGUUUAUGUACAAAUAUAAAUCUAGUAAUUUUUUCUUCCAGCAACGAAGUAGUCAAAAGUACCCGACUGAAGGUCAUGUCACUACAAGAGAGAUACGGGGACCAUCAUUAUGGGAUAGAUUUGUGGAAUGGUUAAAUCGGAAUUGUUUUGGACCGAGAGUCGAGUCAGAUGAUCAAUCGAAUUUGGUAUAGCAGCUUGAUGCAGAUUAAACCAAUACAGACAACGAUAAUUAAUAUUGCAAUCCUUGGUGGGAGAGUUAAUUUACACAAGAGACAAGAAAAAGCGAUGAAUGAAAAUAGGACUAAAAUUAUGAAGCACAUAAAUAUAUAAAGUUAUCGUAUUUACAUCGCAAACGUAAAUUGUUUUCUGGUUAGGUCACUUUGUUAAUCAUGUUGAACUAAGUGUCGUUCUAGCAAUCUGAAGGUACAAAACCUGCUUAUAUGGCAUGUAUAGGUAUUUUUGCGGCGCUCUAGAAGUAUGUGUACCUAUAUGAAGGUAACUAAUUUGUGUGAAGUAACUGAAACAUAUGGGCAGGGAGAUAUUCACUUGGCUAACAAAGACAGUCCCCGUCACUAAGUCACUAAUAUAUAAGAAGUUUACAAAAACUAUUAUUUGUAGGAAUCUUUCCGGGCCGAUAUCGCCUACUCAGUUUAUUACAACCUGUGUAAGGUGGUGGGCAUUAAAUUUGAACAUACGAUUUGUAAUCUGCAAUGCCGCCACAGAUUAGUGUUAAAAGUCAUCUAAUAUAUGCAGUUGCUCCUAUUUACAAAAAUCUAAUGUGUAAAUGUGCUAUGUGUAAAAUAUUUCGUAAUUGUAAUCGCUAUAUUGAGACUUCCAUACCCUAUAUUAUAUUCCACUAUUAAUUCAUUGUUUAUACUUUUAUCUUGUUAAAUAUGCUUUAAAUAAAUAUUUGAUCUAGUGAUCUUCAA